ACCCCAGGUGUCCAGCAGAGGCGCCAUACUAUGAUGAGAACACUGGGAACUGCACCACGCUGCAGGACUGCACCUGCCUCUUCAAUGGUACAGUCCCUAAGGCAUGACACUGAAGUGAGCACGCCCAGUGGAAACUGCACAUGCACAGAUGGAAUCAUGGACUGUGUCCCAUGUCCUACGACCCCACCACCGACAACCUUGACAACCAUGGCAACACGAUGGACAACACCAUCAACAACAUUCCCAACUACAACACCACCACCAACAACAACACCGGCAAUGCUCCCACCUUCCAUUACCACUGAUUUUAUAGUAAUAACAGACCCCACAUCUUCAAAUCCACCAACA